GCCGUGGGCGCGGCAACUACGCAUCGGCGCCGGCAAGCUCCGAGAAGGCGAGGAGAGCUCUACGCGAGGUCCCUCGGUGGAGAACGACGACGCAUCCAUGAGCGAUGCAGGAGCUGAUUUGCAGAAUCGCGCUGAUUGGUCAAGAAUCUCUUGCCAGGGGCGACGCAAAGGGGAAUCCUGUGAUCAACCAGAAAUUGGACAUAAUGGCCAGGACUACGACCCUGGCUUCUGCUCUAAGCUCCCACGUUGUAGAUGCCCUGGUGUUUCUAUGGACGGUCUGCCAUUGCAGGAGCAUGAGUACAUGGAGAGUUUCCAAUAGAUUGAAUUGCCCAGGAUGGAGACUAUCCAAAAGAGGGAGGAAGCCCGCCGUACGAUGGACAAGGUGGUGCAGACCUCCACCCACGACCCAAGUGCAAGGGGAAGUAUUGCGGGGAUGUGCGUUUUUCAAUCAAUGACUGACAAAUCAGUCUAGGGCCUUCUGCAGUCCUCGGUUCAAAGCACCUCCACGAAGACCUGUUAUUUAGUAAUUCAGGUUGUGCUAGCUUUUGUAAUCUUAGUACAAAAAGAAGAGGCAAUAGUUGUAUCACCACAUACACAACUGCGAAAGGACCUAGCAUGUGUUCUUAGCAAAAAAAUGCAAUCAAUCCAAUGCUUCUACCUUUUUUCCAGAUAAGUUGCAUACAGAGACAACGUCACAUGGAGGAAGAAUCGGGCACACCUAAUAGCUGGGUUGAGAAAAUACCCUGAUUUGUCUACACCUCAUGGAGAAGUUACACAUGUGUUUCCUGCCUAGGAGAACAACCGCGUUGUAGGGAGGCAACCAAAGGACAGCAGUAAAUGUCAAUGUGAAUACUGCGCCACCAGCAUACUUUGGCAGCUGCACCAGACCAUUUAUCUUUGGACCUUGCUGAUAGCAAAUAGAGUAGAAAUAUAUUGUUCAUGUACUACUGGAUUUUUAUAACUUAUGGGAACACUUCAGUUACUUUUUCCAUGAUGCAGUACUUGUGGACAAUUCGAUCCCUGUGCUAGCAUGACGAUGUCAAUUAUUUCGAUUUAGUUAUGUAUGCUUCCUCAGUUUUGUGUUAUUGAAAGUGAAGUGGUUAAUUCAAAGUUUUCUAUCAGCAGACAUCCCUAUUAGUUUCUUCUAUAAACUAAGUUCCAGUGCCAUAAAACAUGUGUUAUUGAAAUACCUGCAGUUUGAGCAAGCCACUGCUACCUAGGCAAAGGUGCGGAUAUGUGGUCAUCUCUUACAGUUUUCUCAUCCUUCUCUGCAUACCUAUACUAUCCACCAGUUUAGGGAUCUAAAAAAAGUGACAUAUGGAGAUCAAUUGACUGUAGUGUGUUGUUAGUCCCCUCAUUACAUAGCAGUAGGACUGAAGAUAUGGUGCUCUGUUCUUGUAUGGUGCCAUAUUUAGUUAUGUACUUUUGUAAGGCUCAUAUGCAUCUGUUUUAGCCUUUGAACAGGGAAGUUGAACUUUUUAAUGAUCAGGCUAGAAGGUCCAAAGCCAAAUAGCAAAACUCCGAUUAUUUUUCAAUUGGUGAACUCCUGGAAUGAUUUUCUUACUGCUAAUUGAAUUCCCUUGCUGCAUAAAAUUAUUUGUAAAUAAAUAUUACUAAAAAUACUUUAAAAUGGGUAGCAUCGCUCACAAACUGUCUGACUAUUAGUACUGAAUUACACUGAUGUCACUUCACUAUUCUUGAUAUUGCUCCAUGUUGGUAGUGAUUUACUGAAUUGUGCACUGUCACUUAUGGUCACAUGAGACAUUAUGGCAUCUAUGUUACUUCAUGGAGUUAUAGGUGAACCGAGUGCCCUCAACUUAUACACUGGCAAUUAAUUUCUAGAUAAACAAAAGCAAAAUGUUUUUGUGCUCAAGUCUGCUUAACAUGGAUGCUUAUUUUCAUGGCUCUAUAAAAAUCAUACCCUGGUUUAGAUAUGUUUGGAUGACAUGUACAACAGUAUAAAUGAGUGUUAAAUGAUACGAGUCCCUUCACAUAUCUUCCGUGGCAAUGGGUUGAAGCACGUAAAGUACGCAAAGCUAUUGUCAAUAGAGCAAGGUCUUCAGGUUAUCGAUGACAUAUUUCAGAAAGCAAUUUAUCUUUGUGCAUCAUCUUACACUGCCAUGCUUAAUAUACAUGAGGCACCAGCUGGGUUAUUUUGUGACGAAGCAACGAGAUGUAGACGGAAAACGACUCAGGCGCCUCAUGGUUCCCUGUCUCUACUUUUUAUUUUGACUUUGCCCUUCGUACAACCAUAAGUUCAGAUUCAUUUGUUAAAGCUGGCUGCAAGUUGCAUCUAUAUUUGCCCCACUAAGCUGAACAAUUUAUGAGUGUUACUAAACAUCAUUUUCUCUAAUUUAUCCUGCACUUGUGUGUUUCAUAUAUCAGAUACGAGGGAUCUCCUCUCGCAUUGGCGGUGGCAGCUAAGGGCAUGCGAUGGUGGGAAGCUGGGCGGGCCUGAGCUCGAUGGCCAACGGCGGCUCUCCCCUCUCCUUCUUCUGUCUGCUACAUGCUUGCUAUCUAUUUUCCUAUCUCUAUCUCUAUUUGAUUUCUUUGUUGUGGUAGUAGUCUCGUAAAGUUGAUAAAUAACAGUAGCAAAGAUGUUCAUGGCAUGUGGCAUAUUUAUUUUCUGUUUUUUUAUUUAUCUAUGCAAACCUACAUGUUUCCGCAAAUUACACCUGAGGUUGAAGUAUGCAAUAUGUUAUUGAUUUCUUGAUGAAAUUAGAAAAAGCUACUUAACUUCUCAAAACAGAUAUAUGGAAUAAUAAUUCUUUAUUGAAGAUGUUCCAAGACAAUGAGAUUCAGGCUAAGACAAUGAGAUUCAGGCUGCACUAAAAGUUUCUGUUGAUUUGACAUCCACUUGCUAGCGAUCUUCCGUGACAAUCACAAUUCACCGUCACUGAUUUUUGCUUCUUCAAUACGUAAAGCGCUGU